GUCCCUGUAGCGUAGUGGAGAGUGCGUUGGACUUCUAAUCCAAAGGUCGUGGGUUCAAAACCCACCAGUGAUG